UAUAUAUUUACAAUUGAAGUAAUUAAGACUGACAAAAAUCUUGUUGCAGACUAUCUAUGAAGAAAAAGGAACCCCAACUGAACCAGAAAAACAUACGAUGGAAGAAAUACUCAAAGUCAUUACUAUACUUUCUACGAAAGUGGAUAGUAUAGACAAAGAGUUACAAAAGAUAAAAAAAUAUAAGUUAGCAGCAUGACUAUAAACAUGCGGAACUACAAGGAGACGUUGGGAAACUCCAAAAAACCCAUAAUAAUAUUUGUUCAAAUGCAGCUACAGCCAGCACAUCUACAGCAGGACAAUCUGCGAAAAAGGAGGAAGCUAAGGUAAAAUAUACAAAUAUAAAUAUGAACAG
rnacentral:misc_RNA from 1 species